rnacentral:rRNA from 8 species
GAGGGCCAUGUCUGUCUGAGGGUCG